GCCCUAGUACGGCGAGUGAAGCGGCAACAGCUCAAUUUGAAAUCUGGCUCUCUUUGGGGGUCCGAGUUGUAAUUUGCAGAGGAUGCUUUGGCAUUGGCGGCGGUCUAAGUUCCUUGGAACAGGACAUCACAGAGGGUGAGAAUCCCGUACGUGGUCGCCUGCCCUUGCCGUGUAAAGCUCCUUCGACGAGUCGAGUUGUUUGGGAAUGCAGCUCUAAAUGGGAGGUAAAUUUCUUCUAAAGCUAAAUACUGGCCAGAGACCGAUAGCGCACAAGUAGAGUGAUCGAAAGAUGAAAAGUACUUUGGAAAGAGAGUCAAAAAGCACGUGAAAUUGUUGAAAGGGAAGCGCUUGCAGCCAGACUUGCCCGCAGUUGCUCACCUAGGCUUUCGCCUGGGGCACUCUUCUGCGGGCAGGCCAGCAUCAGUUUGGGCGGUUGGAUAAAGGCCUCUGUCACGUAUCUCCCUUCGGGGUGACCUUAUAGGGGGAGGCGCAAUG
rnacentral:rRNA from 1 species